ACAAAUCAACAUCUAUAUAUGGAUUGAGGUUAGCGCGCCACAAGGUGGCAAGCUGUUGUCCUCGCCCAUAUAAUAGACAUUUACCCCGAGCCUCCUUGUGAGGCUUGGUUGGGCAGUGUUAUGCUGCUCCGGUUGUGCAGCGUUAGCGCGCUGCCUGCCACAUAGACGCUUGUAUGUUUGACAGAGUUUACACUAUGCAUAAAAGUGA
rnacentral:misc_RNA from 1 species